rnacentral:pre_miRNA from 1 species
AAUAAACUAAUUUUUCGCUUUUUACCUAUAAUUUUGACUCUUCGUCUUAUUCAAAUUUUUUUGCGAUUGAUAUUUUUAUUUUCAUUAGAUGAUAAAUCAUGAAUAGUACUUUAUGUGUGACUAAUUUUUUUCUAAUUUUUUAAAAACUUUUAAAAUAAGACGGAUGGUCAAACGUUGGAAAUGAAAACCGAAG